UACGAAGGGGACUAGCGUUGUUCGGAAUUACUGGGCGUAAAGCGCCACGUAGGCGGAUUUGUUAGUCAGGGGUGAAAUCCCGGGGCUCAACCUCGGAACUGCCUUUGAUACUGCAAGUCUCGAGUCCGAUAGAGGUGGGUGGAAUUCCUAGUGUAGAGGUGAAAUUCGUAGAUAUUAGGAAGAACACCGGUGGCGAAGGCGGCCCACUGGAUCGGUACUGACGCUGA
rnacentral:rRNA from 1 species